UACCAAGGCGGUUAAGUCAUAUUUUAAAUGGUAAAAAAACAGUUAGAUACACACGAAAUCUUGCCGAAAGUUUAAUUAAAGUUUCUGUAAAGGUAAAAUUUAAACUUAAACACAUAAUCUUAUUUAAACUUUAUUUAUUGAGGCUGUGACAGCCUAGAGGGAAACUGGGAUUAGAUACCCCAUUAUUCUUGGAAGUAAAUAGAAAUUUAUCUACCUGAGUACUACGAACUAUAAAGUUUAAAACUCAAAGGGCUUGGCGGUGUUUUAGACCUCUCAGGGGAACCUGUCUCAUAAUCGACAAUCCACGUUACACCUAAUCUUUUUUUGCUCUCAGUUUGUAUACCGUCGUCGUCAGGUAACUUUUUAAAAAAUAGAAGUUAGCGAGAAAAUUACUUAAAUUAACACGUCAGAUCAAGGUGCAGCCUAUAAAAAGAUGAGGAUGGGUUACAAUUAUUUACUUAUAAUUACGAACUAAUUGUCUAAACAAACAAUCAUGAAGGAGGACUUGAAAGUAAGCUAGAUUACAUAAAUAAGCUGAAUCUGGCUCUGAAACGUGC
rnacentral:rRNA from 1 species